rnacentral:lncRNA from 1 species
AUUUGUAGACCCUGCUCUAAUAUUUGGAACAGCCAUCGAUACUUCGGUGUGUUUGGUUGAGUGCACCACAUGAUGCAUGUAUGGAUGAUCCUGGAUGAUAUGGGUCAACUAAUUUGGUUGAACCAUAUUGUUCAUCGUUCUUUGUAGAUAGUCAUACCAAGUGGGAUGGCAUCACAUCCUCGAUGAGUUGGUACAGUUCACCUAACCAAACAAAAGAUGAUUGUCCAUUUUAAACCAUUUCAUACAUGAAUCAAAUGAUACAUGUAACCAAACAUAUCCCGAUCUUGUUUUGAUCCACUAGCAAAAUUUUAGCUGACUAAAGUUGAUUGAGAUGGAUUCAAACAGGCUAGCUAAAAAGCAGCUAAAUCUCUUCUAACUAAUUGGAAAGCAAACUAUCCCAGCUAAAGAAGUUUAAAUAUUGAAUUGUCCCUCCACCUUCCUCGGAACCCCCCUGCACACAGCC